rnacentral:tRNA from 1 species
GGAGAGGUGGCCGAGUGGCUGAAGGCGCUCCCCUGCUAAGGGAGUAUGCGGUUGAUCCCGCAUCGAGGGUUCGAAUCCCUCCCUCUCCG